UACGUAGGGGGCAAGCGUUGUCCGGAAUCAUUGGGCGUAAAGCGCGUGUAGGCGGUCCGGUAAGUCCGCUGUGAAAGUCGGGGGCUCAACCCUCGGAUGCCGGUGGAUACUGUCGGGCUUGAGUACGGAAGAGGCGAGUGGAAUUCCUGGUGUAGCGGUGAAAUGCGUAGAUAUCGGGAGGAACACCAGUGGCGAAGGCGAUCAUCUGGGGUUGUUCUGACACUGAGGAGCGAAAGCUAGGGGAGCAAACGGG
rnacentral:rRNA from 1 species